rnacentral:rRNA from 1 species
CUACGGGGCGCAGCAGUGAGGAAUAUUGCACAAUGGGGGGAACCCUGAUGCAGCAACGCCGCGUGGAGGAUGACGCAUUUCGGUGUGUAAACUCCUCUUAUAUGUCAAGAAAAUGACGGUAGCAUAUGAAUAAGCACCGGCUAACUCCGUGCCAGCAGCCGCGGUAAUACGGAGGGUGCAAGCGUUACUCGGAAUCACUGGGCGUAAAGGACGCGUAGGCGGGCUUGUAAGUCAGGUGUGAAAUCCUACAGCUUAACUGUAGAACUGCACUUGAAACUACGAGCCUAGAGUAUGGGAGGGGCAGAUGGAAUUAGUGGUGUAGGGGUAAAAUCCGUAGAUAUCACUAGGAAUACCUAAAGCGAAGGCGAUCUGCUGGAACAUAACUGACGCUAAGGCGUGAAAGCGUGGGGAGCAAACAGGAUUAGAUACCCUAGUAGUC